rnacentral:antisense_RNA from 1 species
CCUUCGACGCCGGAUUCGUGAUCUCUUCCCGCGGAUAG